GAACGCACAUUGCGCCCUUUGGUAUUCCGAAGGGCAUGCCUGUUCGAGCGUCAUUAUCACCCCUCAAGCCCUGUGCUUGGUGUUGGACGGCCGGUCGAGCGAUCGACCCCUCCUAAAGACAAUGACGGCGGCCUGUGGUUCCCCCGGUACACUGAGCUUUUCACCGAGCACGUAUCGGACAAGGGCACCCGGGACCCGGUCCUCUCCUUUCACAAAAGGAAACUUUCUAUGGUUGACCUCGGAUCAGGUAGGAAUACGCGCUGAACUUAAG
rnacentral:misc_RNA from 1 species